GACGAACGCUGGCGGCGCGCCUAACACAUGCAAGUCGAACGAGAGAUGAGGAGCUUGCUCUUCAAAUCGAGUGGCGAACGGGUGAGUAACGCGUGAGGAACCUGCCUCAAAGAGGGGGACAACAGUUGGAAACGACUGCUAAUACCGCAUAAGCCCACGGCUCGGCAUCGAGCAGAGGGAAAAGGAGCAAUCCGCUUUGAGAUGGCCUCGCGUCCGAUUAGCUAGUUGGUGAGGUAACGGCCCACCAAGCCGACGAUCGGUAGCCGACCUGAGAGGGUGAUCGGCCACAUUGGGACUGAGACACGGCCCAAACUCCUACGGGAGGCAGCAGUGGGGAAUAUUGGGCAAUGGAGGAAACUCUGACCCAGCAACGCCGCGUGGAGGAAGAAGGUUUUCGGAUCGUAAACU
rnacentral:rRNA from 1 species